AAUAAGUGUAAUUUUAAUAUUGUUUAUGUUUAACGUUUGACCGUUCGUCUUAUUUAAAAAAAUAAUUAUGAUUAGUAUUUUUAUUGUUAUUAGAUGAUAAUAUAUGAAUAGUACUUUAUGUGUGACUAAUAUUUUAAAUUUUUUUUAUAAAAUUUUCAAAUAAGACGGACGGUCAAAACGCUGAAUACGGAUAUCUGUGGCUGCACUUAUU
rfam:Oryza sativa (indica cultivar-group) chromosome 8, whole genome shotgun sequence.